ACAUGGCCAUGGGACUUCCCACAUACUCCUUGUCGGAAUCGGACACAAAAAUCUAGCUCAGGUUUUAUCCUCUUCCAAUUCACCAACAUUUAUUACUCUCUAUAUUUUGUUGACUUGCACGCACCAAUCUGACCUCUGAACUAUUCGACGUCCAUGGCACGGCAGCUAGAGAGCGUGUUAUUUGAUCUCCUGUGCAUGGUUGAUAUAUAGUAUGAGAAAAGCUCAAGGAAGAAUUUCAAGAAACAUGGACGUCAAACUCAGAUGUUUGUGGUCAAGCUGCAUCCAAUCUAGUUGCUGGCAACAACUUGGAGGGAGACAGAGACACAGUUGUCGAGCCCUUCCAGAGCGGUUGAAUAUAUGUAAUCUAAGCUCCUCCUGAACCUGUAAGCGUACCUAGUGGACAGGCUGCUAAUGCGCACGCUCAGCCUCAGCAAGCAGCUCCUCUUCCUUCAACUGGACCAAAUGCUAAUCCGCUAUAUCUUUUUCCGCAAAUCCUCGGUUCAUCUAUUUAUUUUUUCUUUGCGUCGUUUCUCCUUUAGCUUACUAACUAGGUUUAAUGUAAAUUAUCCCAUGUGAUAUCAGAAAUGGUUAAAUUAUACCCUGUGAAAAAAAAUAUCAAAUUACCUCCAUGUGUUUGUGAAAAUAGAGUAAUUUACCCCUUCACACGAUUUCAUAUAAUG